GAUGAACGCUGGCGGCGUGCCUAAUACAUGCAAGUCGAGCGAACGGACGAGAAGCUUGCUUCUCUGAUGUUAGCGGCGGACGGGUGAGUAACACGUGGAUAACCUACCUAUAAGACUGGGAUAACUUCGGGAAACCGGAGCUAAUACCGGAUAAUAUUUUGAACCGCAUGGUUCAAAAGUGAAAGACGGUCUUGCUGUCACUUAUAGAUGGAUCCGCGUUGCAUUAGCUAGUUGGUAAGGUAACGGCUUACCAAGGCAACGAUGCAUAGCCGACCUGAGAGGGUGAUCGGCCACACUGGAACUGAGACACGGUCCAGACUCCGACGGGAGGCAGCAGUGGGGAAUCUUCCGCAAUGGGCGAAAGCCUGACGGAGCAACGCCGCGUGAGUGAUGAAGGUCUUCGGAUCGUAAAACUCUGUUAUUAGGGAAGAACAUAUGUGUAAGUAACUGUGCACAUCUUGACGGUACCUAAUCAGAAAGCCACGGCUAACUACGUG
rnacentral:rRNA from 1 species